UUAAGUCGUCGCGACUGGCGUUGGGUGGUGCACCACCAGGGAGCGGCAUUUUGAAGACCACGGAUCGUACGCCUGGGCCGAGGGU
rfam:Arthrobacter sp. Hiyo8 DNA, complete genome, strain: Hiyo8.